GGCUCAGGAUGAACGCUGGCGGCGUGCCUAAUACAUGCAAGUCGAACGCACAGCGAAAGGUGCUUGCACCUUUCAAGUGAGUGGCGAACGGGUGAGUAACACGUGGACAACCUGCCUCAAGGCUGGGGAUAACAUUUGGAAACAGAUGCUAAUACCGAAUAAAACUUAGUGUCGCAUGACAAAAAGUUAAAAGGCGCUUCGGCGUCACCUAGAGAUGGAUCCGCGGUGCAUUAGUUAGUUGGUGGGGUAAAGGCCUACCAAGACAAUGAUGCAUAGCCGAGUUGAGAGACUGAUCGGCCACAUUGGGACUGAGACACGGCCCAAACUCCUACGGGAGGCUGCAGUAGGGAAUCUUCCACAAUGGGCGAAAGCCUGAUGGAGCAACGCCGCGUGUGUGAUGAAGGCUUUCGGGUCGUAAAGCACUGUUGUAUGGGAAGAACAGCUAGAAUAGGAAAUGAUUUUAGUUUGACGGUACCAUACCAGAAAGGGACGGCUAAAUACGUGCCAGCAGCCGCGGUAAUACGUAUGUCCCGAGCGUUAUCCGGAUUUAUUGGGCGUAAAGCGAGCGCAGACGGUUUAUUAAGUCUGAUGUGAAAGCCCGGAGCUCAACUCCGGAAUGGCAUUGGAAACUGGUUAACUUGAGUGCAGUAGAGGUAAGUGGAACUCCAUGUGUAGCGGUGGAAUGCGUAGAUAUAUGGAAGAACACCAGUGGCGAAGGCGGCUUACUGGACUGCAA
rnacentral:rRNA from 1 species